AAUCUUCUGUAUCCGUGCUGAGAUUUCGUCACCGAUCAACUCGUUGAGGCUGAUGCAACUCCCCAGAUAAGUGAAGUG
rnacentral:pre_miRNA from 1 species